rnacentral:rRNA from 1 species
UACGAAGGGGGCUAGCGUUGUUCGGAAUUACUGGGCGUAAAGGGCGCGUAGGCGGUCUGAUAAGUUAGAUGUGAAAUUCCCGGGCUUAACCUGGGGGCUGCAUUUGAUACUGUCAGGCUUGAAUCCAGGAGAGGAUAGUGGAAUUCCCAGUGUAGAGGUGAAAUUCGUAGAUAUUGGGAAGAACACCAGUGGCGAAGGCGGCUAUCUGGACUGGUAUUGACGCUGAGGCGCGAAAGCGUGGGGAGCAAACAGG